rnacentral:lncRNA from 1 species
UUUUAUCAAAUUUAUUCAGUAGAAGAAUUGUCUGGUUGAAAUGACAUCAGCCUGAGCGAUGCUCGGGAUAGUCAGUAUGUACACACACGCACUGCCCGAGUGACACUUAGGGUAAACUGUGAAUUGGUUAAUGUCACUUUUACUACUAUUCAGUUAAUUGCUUGGAGCUGUUGAAAUUUAUGUAACCUGUUUCCAGUUAAAGUGAAAUUGCUGCAGCUAUAUGUACAUCAGAUUCACACGUCUAGUUAGUAUGAAGUCAAAGUGACUGUGGUAGAUAAAAUGUAUGCACAUAAAGACCUGGAUUUAGAGAGCCAGAUUAACCCACAGGAAGCUGCUUCAGCUCAACACCACCAGCGGCGUGUGAGAACUCUUUCUCCUGUUCUAACUUCUAAGACUCUCACAAAUUAGUACCUAACUAUUUUUUGUUGUUGUUGUCCUUUUUCUUUUGUUAUUGUUUAAUUAUAACUUUAGCAAUAAUGGGCUAAGGAAAAAAAUUAAUGGGCUAAGGGCCUUUUUUGAAAAAUAGGAAACCUGGAUUAAGAGGAUGAGGCAUGUACGAACUGAAACCAGAAUGUGCCAAGGAGUUCAACUUGUAUUUCUAUCGCUUCUCAAGGGCAGAGCAGUCCAAGGCAGAAGAAGCUCAAAGGAAAUUGAGAAGACAAAAUAAGAGAAGAUACAGGUUAAAUUUUUCAGACCAACCAAAUCUGACCCAGUGGAUUAGAACAAUAUCUCAGCAGAUAAAAGCAUUACAGAGUCUUAGGAAAGAAGAAAAUGCUUCCAUUCCUGCCUCUUCAGAGAAUUCAAAGAACGUGGAAGAAGUACAGCUCCUUGAAGGUUUCAGGCCUGAUUUUCAUCCUCAGAACCCUUAUUCUGAGAGCAUUAAGGAAAUGCUGACAACAUUUGGAACUGCUACCUACAAGGUGGGACUAAAAGUUCACCCCAACGAAGAGGAUCCCCGUGUGCCCAUAAUGUGCUGGGGUAGCUGUGCGUACACCAUCCAGAGCAUAGAAAGAAUUCUGAGUGAUGAAGAUAAACCAUUGUUUGGUCCUUUGCCUUAUAGACUGGAUGACUGUCUUAGGUCACUGACAAGAUUUGCAGCAGCACAUUGGACGGUGGCAUCACUUCCAGUGGUACAAAGACAUUUUUGUAAACUUUUUGCAUGUAUUAAUAUGUGUACCAUGCAUGUAAUGGUAAUUUCUCAUCUGAAAUAG